GACGAACCGUGCGAACGUUGUUCGGAAUCACUGGGCUUAAAGGGCGCGUAGGCGGGCCGUCGCGUCCGGGGUGAAAGCCCCCAGCUCAACUGGGGAAGUGCCUUGGAUACUGCCAAGCUCGAGCGAGAUAGGGGUCGUGGGAACUUCCGGGUGGAGCGGUGAAUGCGUUGAUAUCGGAAGGAACGCCGGUGGCGAAAGCG
rnacentral:rRNA from 1 species